UCCCGGGUGGCUCAGAUGGGAAAAGUGUCUGCUUACAAUGCGGGAGACCCAGGUUCAAUCCCUGGUUCGGGAA
rnacentral:tRNA from 1 species